GGGGCGCGAGGCCUGCGGCGGGGACGCGGACUGAGGCCCGUGCUGCAUCAAGGCACAGAGAGGCGCGUUCGUUUUCUCGAGGACACACGGCGGGUGUGAGCCCACGCGAGAACGCAGCCCGCGGUGCUGAUUCCGGUUGUCUGAGCGCCAGCGUUACAGGUCCAGUCGUCUGCCUUCAGGACAAGCACCAUCAUGCCCCUUCUGGUGCCCAGGUGGCCUGCGUGGCUCUUCUGGUGGCGGGCAGCCUGCACUCGGAGAGCCUUCGUGCAGCAGAGGAUGUGGGCAGGGGCCACCAGGAUCUCUGGGCUGGGCGGCCCCGCGGGGGCCCUGGGCACCAGCCCCCUGGUCCGAAGAGGCAGUUCCUCUGCUUCCUCCAGUGCUCCUGGGGUGAGGCUAACUCGGGACCGCUACCCCGUGCAGCGGCUGCCGUUCUCCGUGGUGUCUGAGGACGACCUGGCCGCCCUGGAGCGCAUCAUCCCUGGCAGGGUCAUCACAGACCCAGAGGAGCUGGAGGCUCCGAACGUAGACUGGCUGAGGACGGUCCGAGGCUCCAGCAAGGUGCUCCUCCGGCCCCGGACAUCCCAGGAGGUGGCUCAAAUCCUCAGGUACUGUCACGAGAGGAACCUGGCGGUGAACCCACAGGGCGGCAACACAGGCCUGGUGGGGGGCAGCACCCCCGUCUUUGACGAGAUCGUCCUGUCCACAGCCCUCAUGAGCCAGGUCCUCAGCUUCCACGACGUGUCAGGUAAAGCUGUGCCGCGCGGUCGGACCUCCCUGCUCGGCCUCGGGGAGCCUGUGGCCACACUCUGCCCGCCCUGGGCCCCCGGGUGUGUCUGCGCCGGUGGGGGCGGGAGUGUUAUUUAGUUGGCCACUGAGGUGACUUGUACCCUGGGCUCGAGCUGUCACUGUGGCUCCUUUCGACUCUGACACUUCCUGACCGCGAUGGCUCCUGCCAGGGGCGUGCGAGGUCGUCGGGCGGGUCCUUCUCUGUGGUGAGAGUACCUACACCGUUGGGUGUCAGGCAGCACCCCUGGCCUCCACCCACUCAAUGCCAGCAGCACCCCUGGCCCAGAUGUCUCCAGGCAUGUCCCACGUGCCCUGGGGCAGAGUCACCCCAGGCGAGGGCCGCCACCUCACCGCAGCCUCUCCGUGGUGCCGCCGCGUGUGAGCACCGUGUGGUGGGUGUGAGGGGUUUUCUCCGCUUUGGCAUCACGGAUGUUUCUUUUCUGGGGGAGAGUGGGGACCGCGGCCCUAUUUCUCACCAGGGUCCCGGGUGCACUGUCCUGCUGGUGGCCUGGCUCUGAGCCGGGAGCACCCUCUGUAGCUCUGGUUGCUGGGUAGGGGUUCUGGUUUGCCAGGCGGGGUGCGUCCUGGAGGAGCUGAGCCGGUACGUGGAGGAGCGGGGCUUCGUCAUGCCGCUGGACCUGGGGGCUAAGGGCAGCUGCCACAUUGGGGGCAACGUGGCGACCAACGCGGGUGGCCUGCGGUUUCUGCGAUACGGCUCACUGCGCGGGACUGUCUUGGGCCUGGAAGUGGUACUGGCCGACGGCACCCUCCUGAACUGCCUGACGUCACUGCGGAAGGACAACACGGGCUAUGACCUGAAGCAGCUCUUCAUCGGCUCAGAGGGCACCCUGGGGGUCAUCACCGCUGUGUCCAUCCUGUGUCCGCCCAAGCCCAGUGCCGUGAACGUGGCCUUCCUUGGUUGUCCUGGCUUCGCGGAGGUGCUGCAGACCUUCAGCACCGGCAGGAGGCUGCUGGGCGAGAUCCUGUCGGCGUUCGAGUUCAUGGACGCCGAGUGCCUGCAGCUGGUCGGGCGCCACCUGCAUCUCACCAACCCCGUGCAAGAAAGUCCAUUCUAUGUUCUCAUCGAGACCUCGGGCUCUGGAGCAGAUCACGAUGCUGAGAAGCUGAGCAGCUUCCUGGAGCAGGUCCAGGGCUCCGGGCUGGUGACCGACGGGACCCUGGCCACCGAUCAGAGGAGAAUCCAGGCGCUAUGGGCCCUGCGGGAAAGGAUCUCAGAGGCCCUGAGCCACGACGGCUACGUGUACAAAUACGACCUGUCCCUGCCCCUGGACCGGCUCUACGACCUUGUGGACGACCUGCGUGCCCGCCUCGGCCCGAGUGCAAAGCACGUGGUGGGCUACGGCCACCUGGGUGCUUCUGGGCCAUCCUCCUCCUGGCCCUGACCGUGUCCCUGCUGGCUGGCUUCCUGCACAAGGACGUCAGGCUGCUCAUGCCCCUACUCAAGGGCCAGGCUGAAGGGCCCCCCAUCACCAACGUCAUGUUCCUCAAGACGCACAAGACGGCCAGCAGCACGGUGCUCAACAUCCUCUUCCGCUUCGCCGAGACGCACAACCUGUCGGUGGCGCUGCCCGCGGGCCAGCGCGUCCACCUGGGCUACCCCUGGCUCUUCCUGGCGCGCUAUGUGGAGGGCGUCGAGGAGGGCGGCCCCGAGCAGCGCUUCAACAUCAUGUGCAACCACCUGAGGUUCAACCUGCCGGAGGUGCGGAAAGUCAUGCCCAACGACACUUUCUACUUUUCCAUCCUCAGAAACCCUGUCUUCCAGCUCGAGUCCUCCUUCAUCUAUUACAAGGGCUACGUCCCGGCCUUUAGGGACGUGGUCAGCCUGGAGGCCUUUCUGGCCUCCCCGGGGACCUACUACAACGAGAGCCAGGGCUUGCGCAACGCCUACGCCAGGAACGGCAUGUGGUUCGACCUGGGCUUCGACAACAACGCGCCUGCGGAGGACGCCUACGUGCGCGCGCGCCUGGCCGACGUGGAGCGGCGCUUCCAGCUGGUGCUCAUCGCCGAGCACUUCGACGAGUCCAUGGUGCUGCUGCGGCACCUGCUGCGCUGGCGGCUGGACGACGUCGUCUCCUUCCCGCUCAACUUGCGUAGCCCGGGCAGCGUCACCAGCCUGACGCCCGAGGGUCAGGAGCGCGCCAAGCGCUGGUGCGCCCUGGACUGGCGCCUCUACCAGCACUUCAACCGCACCUUCUGGGCGCGCCUGCGUACCGAGCUGGGCCCGCGGCGGCUGCGCUCUGAGGUGGCGCAGCUGCAGGCGCGGCAGCGCGAGCUCCAGGCCCUCUGCGUGCAGGACGGCGCCCCCAAGAACAAGUCGCAGAUCACCGACCUCAGGCUGCGUCCUUACCAGUCGGGCGAGGCCGACAUUCUGGGCUACAGCCUGAGGCCCGGCCUGGACAACCAGACGGUGCAGCUGUGUCAGAGGAUGGUCACGCCGGAACUCCAGUACACGGCCCGCCUGUACACGCAGCAGUUCCCAGAAAAGCCCCCCAAGAACAUACCCUUCCUGGGGGCGUAAUGGCCAUCGGUGCUGCCUCAGGCUCAGAGGGGGCUUCCCGGGGCAUCCAGGAGACCCAGGCCCCCCAGACCCCCCAGACCACAGGGCAAAUACGUCUGUGAAGGAACCCCCUGUGGUCUGUCCUCUUGGAGGCCUCCCUCUUUCGUGGGGGCCUCAAAUGCAGGACAACAGGCCCAGCUGGUCUGACGGCGUGAACCCGUUCAUUCCUCAAAUAGAAAAGUCUCACCGGGUAGGCAAGUUAGUUACAUGUCAGCACACUGUCCACCCAAAGACCAGGAGCCCAGGGAAUCGGGAGGGCCUGGGUCCCUGAUGAGCACGCGCUGGUCACCGAGUCCCGGUUUAGCACCCACAGGCAGCACUUUGAAGGUGGGCCUGGGGAGCAGGGACAGGGAGUGGGGUCUGGAACGUCCCGCUUCCCAUCUUUGGCUGUGUGAGGCGUGCUUCCAACCGAAAAACUUGAGAAAUCUUAGAAUUGCUUACGAGACAAAUGCUUCAGUCGGAACACAGGUCGAGGGUCAGGGCUGCAAUUCUGCUUUGGGGUAGCCCCCCUUCCCGAAUAUCCAGUGAAGGAGGAAGCCUGCUGGAGAGGAUGGGCAGCUGCAACCUCAGUUACCAUGGAGACCAUGCUGGAUGCGAUCCCAGAGGAGGGAGGCUUCCAGGCAGCCCUCUUUGUGGUCUGUGGGGAGGGAGUGAGGAUGCCCUGCCUGGCAGGACGUGACCUCUGGCUGCUUAGGACGGGGUGCACACAUCCAGCUCCAUGUCCCUGUGCCCUUAGAAAAUUAGGCACCCGGAGCACCCAAGAAGCAGAGCCACUCUUCCACACUGAGCCGCCUGUCCACCUGGUGCGGGGUCCCCUUCGUUCCCUGUAGGCCCUCAUCUCUGAAGACCCCAGCACGUGCUCAAGGUGCUUCUCCGUCAGGGUGUGUCCUCACUUCUUAGGGGAAUCAGCCUCUCAAAAAAGGGAGACCCCCCCACACACCCACACACUGGAACAGGCAGCAGCUCCCUUGGGCAUCAACUUAAUGGAGGAGCUUCCAGUAGAAUGAAUUUUCAGUAAGAUUAGAGGACAUUUUGCAGUGAAUUUGAGAGGGAAAGAAUAUUUGGAAAGGGGAUAAAUGACUUCCAAAAAAAGCGGAAUAGGGAUAGUGAAGGAUAGAUGGACACGGAACCAGGGUCAGCUGGUGGACCCUCCAGAGGCUCCCCCAUCCUCUGCCGAGAGGAAAAUGCAAAGAAGGAACUUCCACGGGAGGGUGCAGAAGGGAAGGCAGAUCCAGGAUGAGCCGGCCCGCGAACGCUGGGUGUCCCUGAGAGUAAGGCCAUGGAUAAGUCCCACAGAGAAUGGGAGCGUUUACCUCCACUUAAAGGCGGAUGAAAUCUGUGCCCUGAACUUGGGCAGCUGCACCAAUCCCCGGAAAAAACAAGACAUCCACUCCCGCCCCGCCCCAGCCAGUGUGGGCAAGCAGAACGCGCUGCUGCUCGGCGGAGAGGGUGGGCACCGUCCACCACCCCGCCAGUGGGGCUGGGACCGCGGAUGUGGCGAGCAGCCGAGGACACGGAAUUACCAUAGAAAUCCAGCAGCAUUUGCGUUUGUCUUUGUGGCUGGCAGGAGUGUAAACCAGCUCUGUCUUUGUAGAGGAAAAUUUGUGGGUAUUUGUCACACCGCAAUAAAGCACAUGCGGUUUGUAACAGAGCUGUGGUUGUCCACCAGAAGGGGUGUUUAAAACGCUAAGUUCUAGGUGGCCAAGAAAGCUGGGAGUGACCUGUGCCUCUCCUUUGUGAUGCUUGGGUCAGGGCUGGUGAGCGGGGCCGCAAGUGACCAGGAUGGGGUGUGACUGUCCCAGCCAGCAGAGUCCAUGGGGGCGCGGGAAGCUGAGAGGGCAGACUGUGUAGUUUUCAAGAGAAGCUUUGUAAUACAGGUUUUUAUGUGAAACCUUCAUGUUUAAAAUGCUGGCAUCUAACUACAUCAUUAAAACUCGGGAGAGAGAA
rnacentral:lncRNA from 1 species